rnacentral:rRNA from 1 species
AUGGCGACCGGCGCACGGGUGAGUAACACGUAUCCAACCUGCCGAUAGCUCGGGGAUAGCCUUUCGAAAGAAAGAUUAAUACCCGAUGGCAUAAUUAGACCGCAUGGUCUUAUUAUUAAAGAAUUUCGGUUAUCGAUGGGGAUGCGUUCCAUUAGGCAGUUGGUGAGGUAACGGCUCACCAAACCUUCGAUGGAUAGGGGUUCUGAGAGGAAGGUCCCCCACAUUGGAACUGAGACACGGUCCAA